ACUCUGGAGCUCAGUUGGUUAGAGCGCUGAACCAGAAUCGCAGGGCAUCCACAGGUUCGAUUCCUACUAGAUUA